ensembl:snRNA U6 U6 spliceosomal RNA
GUGCUCACUUCAGCAGCACAUAGACUGAAAUCAGAAACAUAUAGAAAGGAUUCACAUGGCUCCUGCUUAAGGAUGACAUGCAAAUUCAUAAAGCUUGUCACAUUUUU